rnacentral:rRNA from 1 species
UACAGAGGUCUCAAGCGUUGUUCGGAUUCAUUGGCGUAAAGGGUGCGUAGGCGGCGCGGUAAGUCGGGUGUGAAAUCUCGGAGCUCAACUCCAGAACUGCCUCGAUACUGAGAGUCUUGAGUCCGGGAGAGGUGAGUGGAACUGCGAGUGUAAGAGGUGAAUUCGUAGAUAAUUCGCAAGAACACCAGUGGCGAAAGGCGGCUCACUG